rnacentral:rRNA from 1 species
GUGGGGAAUUUUGGACAAUGGGCGAAAGCCUGAUCCAGCCAUGCCGCGUGCAGGAUGAAGGCCUUCGGGUUGUAAACUGCUUUUGUACGGAACGAAAAGACUCCUUCUAAUAAGGGGGUCCAUGACGGUACCGUAAGAAUAAGCACCGGCUAACUACGUGCCAGCAGCCGCGGUAAUACGUAGGGUGCAAGCGUUAAUCGGAAUUACUGGGCGUAAAGCGUGCGCAGGCGGUUAUAUAAGACAGAUGUGAAAUCCCCGGGCUCAACCUGGGAACUGCAUUUGUGACUGUAUAGCUAGAGUACGGUAGAGGGGGAUGGAAUUCCGCGUGUAGCAGUGAAAUGCGUAGAUAUGCGGAGGAACACCGAUGGCGAAGGCAAUCCCCUGGACCUGUACUGACGCUCAUGCACGAAAGCGUGGGGAGCAAACAGGAUUAGAUACCCUAGUAGUCC